rnacentral:lncRNA from 1 species
AUCAUGUCAUAGUCACAACAGUCAAAAUCAAAUAUUAUACUUGACAAUAGAGAAAAUCAAAUAAAUCAUGAAAUGCACAGAUUUUCGUAUCAUGCUUUGUAAAGUUGUUCCAGCUUCCAUCUCUAAGGGUAGAUACGGAUUUUCGACUACCCAUGUGGAAUGACCAGAUCAGAUACAGAUAACAACAAUUUGCUCAGGCACAUUUCUAGCUUGCUAAACUAUGGUACGAUCUAUGACCACGGCCGUACCAACCAUUAUGGUCUUAUCAAA